AGUGAACGCUGGCGGUAGGCCUAACACAUGCAAGUCGAACGGCAGCACAGUAAGAGCUUGCUCUUACGGGUGGCGAGUGGCGGACGGGUGAGGAAUACAUCGGAAUCUACUUUUUCGUGGGGGAUAACGUAGGGAAACUUACGCUAAUACCGCAUACGACCUACGGGUGAAAGCAGGGGAUCUUCGUACCUUGCGCGAUUGAAUGAGCCGAUGUCGGAUUAGCUAGUUGGCGGGGUAAAGGCCCACCAAGGCGACGAUCCGUAGCUGGUCUGAGAGGAUGAUCAGCCACACUGGAACUGAGACACGGUCCAGACUCCUACGGGAGGCAGCAGUGGGGAAUAUUGGACAAUGGGCGCAAGCCUAAUCCAGCCAUACCGCGUGGGUGAAGAAGGCCUUCGGGUUGUAAAGCCCUUUUGUUGGGAAAGAAAAGCAGCAGGUUAAUACCCCGCUGUUCUGACGGUACCCAAAGAAUAAGCACCGGCUAACUUCGUG
rnacentral:rRNA from 1 species